CGGACGGGUGAGUAACGCGUGAGAAUCUAGCUUCAGGUCUAGGACAACCACUGGAAACGGUGGCUAAUACUGGAUGUGCCGGAAGGUGAAAGGCUUGCUGCCUGAAGAUGAGCUCGCGUCUGAUUAGCUAGUUGGUGGGGUAAGAGCCUACCAAGGCGACGAUCAGUAGCUGGUCUGAGAGGAUGAUCAGCCACACUGGGACUGAGACACGGCCCAGACUCCUACGGGAGGCAGCAGUGGGGAAUUUUCCGCAAUGGGCGAAAGCCUGACGGAGCAAUACCGCGUGAGGGAGGAAGGCUCUUGGGUUGUAAACCUCUUUUCUCAGGGAAGAACACAAUGACGGUACCUGAGGAAUCAGCAUCGGCUAACUCCGUGCCAGCAGCCGCGGUAAUACGGAGGAUGCAAGCGUUAUCCGGAAUGAUUGGGCGUAAAGCGUCCGCAGGUGGCUGUGUAAGUCUGCUGUUAAAGAGUCUAGCUCAACUAGAUAAAGGCAGUGGAAACUACACGGCUAGAGUGCGUUCGGGGCAGAGGGAAUUCCUGGUGUAGCGGUGAAAUGCGUAGAGAUCAGGAAGAACACCGGUGGCGAAGGCGCUCUGCUAGGCCCGCAAACUGACACUGAGGACG
rnacentral:rRNA from 1 species